GGCCAAAUGGUCUAGUGGUAUGAUUCUUGCUUUGGGUUGCUGUUUUUCGUGCUCAACUGCAAGAGGUCCCGUGUUCAAUCCACGGUUUGGCCC
rnacentral:tRNA from 2 species